AAAGACUUCAAAUGUUUCAACACCUACCUAAAAUAUACAAUUAGGUAGCUGUUGAAACAUUUGAAGUCUU
rnacentral:miRNA from 1 species